UGUAGAUUAUGUGUAUCACCAUGACAGCCAAUUCUGGGGAUGAAGUUAUUGAUAUCAAGUCACAAUAUGGCCAAAACAAAGCCGAUGUGACAAUACAUUUAAAUACAAUCAAGCUUAAUUGUUCAAUGUGAUUUUACUCAUUUUACAGAAAAUACAAUUUUAUAACAUUUCACAUGAUAUGUUCAUCUUUUGAUGCAAGUACACAUCAAAGUGCAUCUAUAUUUCUUCACCACCAUCUGUGUGUUCUGCAAACUGUAUACACUUGGAAUCCAUAAAAAAUUCAUACAAUAAGUAACAAAAUGUAUUUUCCCAAUAACACAUUUUGCCACCUAAAAAAUGAAACACUAAAAACAUCCAUAAAUCAGAAUAAUCUGAAAAUAAUGGUUCAUUUGGACUGAAAAGAAAUGGUUCUCAAACUAUAGAUUUUCAAAACUUUAUGCAGGCAAAAAGCGUGCUACUAUUUACAUGGACUAACAUAAGAAUGAUGGAGUGUCUUUACUGAUGAAAACAGUGAAACCUCAAAUUCAAUCAAAUCAGUAUUUUGUGUGAAAAGUUUGAAGAAUUGACCAUGGUCCUUUAUUUAAGGCUAAUGGUCUGUUCUAUGUCUACAGUCCCAAAUGUAAAAUCUAUACCCCAAUUACAUUACAACUGUGUCCACUAUAUAAUGUGGCUGAAAACAGAAUAAUAAAAUAUCAAAAUAUUUACAUACUUUUAC